rnacentral:piRNA from 1 species
UCAGAGAACAGGUCAAAGGAAUGCCACGC